CAGUCGCCACGGUAAUACGGAGGGAGCUAGCGUUGUUCGGAAUUACUGGGCGUAAAGCGCGCGUAGGCGGUUACUCAAGUCAGAGGUGAAAGCCCGGGGCUCAACCCCGGAACUGCCUUUGAAACUAGGUGACUAGAAUCUUGGAGAGGUCAGUGGAAUUCCGAGUGUAGAGGUGAAAUUCGUAGAUAUUCGGAAGAACACCAGUGGCGAAGGCGACUGACUGGACAAGUAUUGACGCUGAGGUGCGAAAGCGUGGGGAGCAAACAGGAUUAGAUACCCGAGUAGUCCCUGUCUCUUAUAC
rnacentral:rRNA from 1 species